AUUGAACGCUGGCGGCAGGCCUAAUACAUGCAAGUCGAACGGUGUCUUCGGACAUAGUGGCGCACGGGUGCGUAACACGUAUGCAACCUACCUUACAUUGGGGGAUAGCCUUUCGAAAGGGAGAUUAAUACCGCAUAAGACAGUAACUAGGCAUCUAGUAGCUGUUAAAGAUUUAUCGAUGUAAGCUGGGCAUGCGUCCAAUUAGCUAGUUGGUGAGGUAACGGCUCACCAAGGCAAUGAUUGGUAGGGGAACUGAGAGGUCCAUCCCCCACACUGUCACUAAGAGACGGGCCAGACUCCUCCGGGAGGCAGCAGUAGGGAAUAUUGGGCGAUGGACGCAAGUCUGACCCAGCCAUGCCGCGUGCAGGAUGAAGGCGUUAUGCGUUGUAAACUGCUUUUAUACAGGAAGAAACGACUCUUGCGAGAGGCAUUGACGGUACUGUAUGAAUAAGCACCGGCUAACUACGUGCCAGCCGCCGCGGUAAAAC
rnacentral:rRNA from 1 species